rnacentral:rRNA from 1 species
GACGAACGCUGGCGGCGUGCUUAACACAUGCAAGUCGAACGGAAAGGCCCUGCUUUUGUGGGGUGCUCGAGUGGCGAACGGGUGAGUAACACGUGAGUAACCUGCCCUUGACUUUGGGAUAACUUCAGGAGACUGGGGCUAAUACCGGAUAGGAGCUCCUGCUGCAUGGUGGUGGUUGGAAAGUUUCGGCGGUUGGGGAUGGGCUCGCGGCGUGUCAGCUUGUUGGUGGGGUAGUGGCUUACCAAGGCUUUGACGGGUAGCCGGCCUGAGCGGGUGACCGGCCACAUUGGGACUGAGAUACGGCCCAGACUCCAACGGGAGGGAGCAGUGGAGAAUAGAGCAUAAUGGGAGGAAGGCUGAUGCAGCAACGCCGCAUGCGGGAUGACGGCCUUCGGGUAGUAAACCGAUUUCGCCUGUGAAGAAGAGUGAGUGACGGUAAUGGGUAAAGAAGCACCGGCUAACUACGUG